CUGUCAGUGGAGGCAGCGGCGGUAGAGGCGGUGGCGGCGACUUGCGGCAGCAGCGAGGAGAUGGAGAAACUGAGGGCACGGAGCCCUCAAAUGCCUCGCGCGAGGUCCCUGAGGGCUCGAACCCAAGUCUGUCAGAAUCCGGAGCCCAAGUGUCCCCCAACAUACUGGAAGUUGCUCAGCUCUGAAGAAAGCCGUGGCGUAUAGCCCCUGCCUCCUGAGAGCUGACAAUACACUUGAGGGUAAGUCCUGUGCCUGGAUGCAGGUCAGUGGGAUGCCUGUGGGAGCAGCAGCUGUAGAUGUUAGCAGUCCUGGCACGUCAGUGAUCAAGCUCAGUAAAUAAAAAGGGCCAAGCUCUGCUCUUUGGAAAAUAUACGCAGUCUUUGUCUGUUCCCGACUCUCUUGGUUUUCUUGGUUUUCACAGGAAAGUGAUGUCUGGCUCCCUGCUGGCCCCAGCUGGCUGCCGGCCGGCCUCAGCAGGAGGCCCGACUUCUGGAAGGGUGUGGCUUGGGACGCCUGGUGGUGGGGGAGAGUGGCGCGGCUCCUCAGGACCACAGGAAUGAAGCAUCCGUAGGGCUGGGCAGCCUCUGAGAAGAGCUCUUGACUCCAUGUGGAGAGCAGGCAGCUGGGCACAGGAGGUGGCUCUGUCCGCUGGCUGUAAAAGCACUUGACACAUGUGUCCAGACAACGAUGAGGGGGUGAAGGUGGACUUGCCCCUUCUUCCCCCCACAUAGUGCUCUGUGUGACAGCACGGCCCUGUGUAACCUCCUGCUCUUAAGGUUUCCCCUCACACAGGAAACUCCACUGAUUGCAUUGAUCCCGGUGCAUCUCCGCAGCCUAAAUUCCAAGGCCCUCGGGUCCGGGGUCCACCUGAUGGUCUGUGAGAGGGCCCUAGCCGGGCACGGUCCUGGCUCGGUGUAGCAUCCCGCCUGCAUUUCAGACACUGAUAUGCUCUUCCCUUCAUCCAGAGGCAGGCCAGCGCUACCCCCUGUUUCACAGCCUGGUGCCCUGGGAACUUAGUGGCUCGGGGACAACUUUGCCCAGAGCUCAGGUUCAGUGCUCAGUGUGGAGAUUCCUUUGUCCGGGGAUUUUUUUCAGAUGAUCCUUCAGAAGCCAUAAGCUGUUCUCCAUCCUGAGAUUUUUCCACAGUCCUCACGUGUCCUGGGUCUUGAGCCAGGAGUGGCCGUUUUCCACUCUGAGAUGGAGUUUGCUUGGAAAAGUGGGCGGAGUGUAAAGGCAGGUGGUAUGAGUGGAAAUGCCUCCGGACCUUUGACGGACUCCACCCUCCACGAACUUCCCGCUCUUCUCUCUGCUUGCUCCCGGUCUCGCAUCUUAGCUGACAGAGUUGAACGUUGUUGCUCUUACUGGCAUCCCUGUGAGGAGAAGAGGGGCAGUUUGGUGACAGUCCCAAUCUCUCAGCUUACGGAGCUGAGAAACUGGGGCCCAGAGAAGGCUAAUUAGCAGAAUCCAAAAUUCUGACACCCCUCCUUUUUUUUUUUCCCAGAGUGUCAUCUUUUCUUGCAUGUCUUCCCCAGAUCCAUCAGUAGGAAGGGAAAAUUAGUCGCCAGGAAGGGCCUUCUUCUGCCUGCCAGGUCAUCUAAUUUGUUAAAGCUUGUUUGGCUUUUCAGUCCCUACUUCCCUCCUGAGUCCGUGGAGCUUUGCUUAGUUACUGUAACUAAGACUCUGCCAUUGAAGGUUCCCGCCUUCCCCUGUCCUCCUCCUUUUGGUCGCCUUGGUGAUCCUGGAGGGAGGUAGAUGUGGGCUUUUUUUUUUUUUUUAAGUAUUAUUCCAGAAGGCAUAACCCUUGGGUCAUCUCAACACCCCCUCAUUGCUGCUGUUCCUUACCUCCUCAUC